rnacentral:tRNA from 1 species
GAGGGUAUAGCUCAGUGGUAGAGCACAUGCUUAGCAUGCACAAGGUCCUGGGUUCAACCCCUAGUACUUCCA